AAUCAACGCUGGCGGCGUGCCUCAGACAUGCAAGUCGAACGAUUAAAGCUCUCUUCGGAGAGUGCAUAGAGUGGCGCACGGGUGAGCAACACGUAAGUAAUCUACCUUCGAGUGGGGAAUAACGUCCGGAACGGACGCUAAUACCGCAUAAUGCAGCGGCAUCGCAAGAUGACAGUUGUUAAAGAUUUAUCGCUUGAAGAGGAGCUUGCGGCAGAUUAGCUAGUUGGUAAGGUAAUGGCUUACCAAGGCUACGAUCUGUAACCGGUCUAAGAGGACGGUCGGUCACACUGACACUGAAUAACGGGUCAGACUCCUACGGGAGGCAGCAGUCGGGAAUUUUGGGCAAUGGGCGAAAGACCUGACGCAGCGACGCCGCGUGAAGGAU
rnacentral:rRNA from 1 species